GACGAACGCUGGCGGCGUGCUUAACACAUGCAAGUCGAACGAUGAAGCCGGAGCUUGCUCUGGUGAAUUAGUGGCGAACGGGUGAGUAACACGUGAGUAACCUGCCCUUGACUCUGGGAUAACUGCUAGAAAUGGUAGCUAAUACCGGAUACGACCCUCGGAGGCAUCUCCAGGGGGUGGAAAGAAUUUCGGUCAAGGAUGGACUCGCGGCCUAUCAGCUAGUUGGUGAGGUAACGGCUCACCAAGGCGACGACGGGUAGCCGGCCUGAGAGGGUGACCGGCCACACUGGGACUGAGACACGGCCCAGACUCCUACGGGAGGCAGCAGUGGGGAAUAUUGCACAAUGGGCGCAAGCCUGAUGCAGCAACGCCGCGUGAGGGAUGACGGCCUUCGGGUUGUAAACCUCUUUUAGUAGGGAAGAAGCGAAAGUGACGGUACCUGCAGAAAAAGCACCGGCUAACUACGUGCCAGCAGCCGCCGCGG
rnacentral:rRNA from 1 species